rnacentral:rRNA from 1 species
UUUGAACGCAAGUUGCGCCCGAGGCUUGUCCCGAGGGCAUGCCUGCCUGAGCGUCACC